rnacentral:rRNA from 1 species
ACCGAUAGUGAACCAGUACCGUGAGGGAAAGGCGAAAAGAACCCCGGCGAGGGGAGUGAAAAAGAACCUGAAACCGUGUACGUACAAGCAGUAGGAGCCUCUUUAUGGGGUGACUGCGUACCUUUUGUAUAAUGGGUCAGCGACUUAUAUUCUGUAGCAAGGUUAACCGUAUAGGGGAGCCGUAGGGAAACCGAGUCUUAACUGGGCGAAUGAGUUGCAGGGUAUAGACCCGAAACCCGGUGAUCUAUCCAUGGGCAG